AAGAGAUGAGAAAGAAGGAAAGAGAAUGAAAAUAAAUGAGAAAGAAGAAAGAAAGGAGAAGGAGAAAAAAGAAGAAGAAGAGAAGAAUAAGGAAGGAAAAGGAAGGAAGGCAAAGCAAACUCGAGACUGAUCCGAAGCGUCGACACGAGACUCGAACCCACGAAAUACACCUCAAGUACUGAACAAAACAUCAAAAUAAACAUAACCAGGAGUGAAUACAAAUAAAUAAUAUACUUUCUUAGCAUUUAUCAACACUUUUCAUGUGUCAACGAUCAUUGGAACCAUAAGGGGAAGAAAUAAUAUAUAUAAAUAAAAGAGCGGUUACAUCUUGGUUCUGGAGAGCGUCAGUGUUGAAUGGACAGAGGUGGGGUUAUGUUGUGUUGCGUCAGUGUUGAGAAUUUCGUAAUACCUCCUCUAAUACUUGGAUUCAACACUACGACGGGACGCAGGGAGGAGGAGAGAGCAAGGGAGAUGUCAUUCAUCUUCGGUCAUCUCUGGGAAGGACUGAGACUCACGCGCCACACCCCGGGACAGCGAGGCCACAACUCCCCAGGUUACAUCUCGUACCUGCUUGCUUCUGGGUGAACAGCUGCAUAACAUUGACACUCCCAUAUGACUCGCCGUGCCCGGGACUCCAACCCUUCGCAGCUGUGAGGCGACCAUGCUGACCACUACACUACGCGGUGUAGUUGGCUGCGGGAAGGGCUGCUAAUUGGCGUGGCUUACCUGUGGCUUAAUCAAAGGUGAGAGUCUUUCAUGUGUCUCAGUCUGGCCGAGAGGAGGAAAGUUUGGUAAAG